rnacentral:rRNA from 1 species
AUGCCUUUAUCUACUAUAACUCAGCUAUGCACGGGGUCAAGAUAUAUGACAGUGCUAGUAUUAAGUGGUCUACCCAUCGAGAAGAUUCCAGAUGCUAUUGGGGAUCUUUUUAAUCUCCGCCAUUUGGGUUUGCGUUAUACAAAAGUGAAGAAGCUCCCCAAGUCUGUUGAGAAGCUUUCAAAUUUGUUGACACUAGACCUCUAUGAAUGUGACAUACAUGAAUUGCCUAGAGGGAUUGUGAAACUGAAGAAGCUUAAGCACUUAUUGGCUGAGAAAAUAACAGAUCCAGAUUGGAGAGAGUUUCAUUGUCGUGGGGGUAUGCGUAUCACCAAUGGCUUUGGAAAUCUAAAAAAUCUGCAAACGCUACAGGCAUUGGAAGCAAAUGGCGAGUCUGUUAAAUAUUUAGGUGAGUUGAGGCAACUCAGAAGCUUGAGGUUAUGGAAUGUGAAGGGAAUCUACUGUGCACGCAUCAUUGAGUCUAUAGUUCAGAUGCGAUAUUUGUCCACCUUAAGUGUUAAUGCAAGUGAUGAGAAUGAGGUUCUCUUGUUGAAUGUCUGCCUACCAAACCUGCAAAAGCUUUUUUUGAGAGGGCGAUUAGCGGAAGGGGCAUUGGACGAGUCUCCUCUCUUCCAAGCUGCUGAGGGGCAAACCUUAUAUGAAUUGGCUCUAUUUUCGUCAGAGCUAAGAGAAGACCCCUUGCCAUCUCUUUCUCGGUUGUCAAACUUGACACGUCUAGAGUUCACUAGAGCAUAUAAUGGAGAGCAGCUGACAUUUCUCACCGGGUGGUUUCCAAAGCUGAAGGUUCUUCAACUAGUGGACCUGCCCAAUCUGAAUCGAGCAGAGAUACAGCAAGGUGCCAUGGCGAGCCUGGAAAGAUUAGAGUUAUUCAAACUCAGCAGCAUGACAGAGGUCCCAACUGGCAUUGAGUUCCUCCUGCCACUCCAGUAUCUUGGCUUCCAUGAAAUCACCAGCGACUUUUUGACGUUGCUGUGCCAAUGUUCUGAAAUUCAAGGGUCACAGUGGCAGCACUCUAUCCGAGAUUGA